GGCCGACCUAGCUCAGCUGGUUAGAGCGUCGUGCUAAUAACGCGAAGGCCUUGGGUUUGAUCCCCAGGUUUACCA